rnacentral:rRNA from 1 species
UAGGGAAUCUUCGGCAAUGGACGAAAGUCUGACCGAGCAACGCCGCGUGAGUGAAGAAGGUUUUCGGAUCGUAAAACUCUGUUGUUAGAGAAGAACAAGGACGUUAGUAACUGAACGUCCCCUGACGGUAUCUAACCAGAAAGCCACGGCUAACUACGUGCCAGCAGCCGCGGUAAUACAUAGGUGGCAAGCGUUGUCCGGAUUUAUUGGGCGUAAAGCGAGCGCAGGCGGUUUCUUAAGUCUGAUGUGAAAGCCCCCGGCUCAACCGGGGAGGGUCAUUGGAAACUGGGAGACUUGAGUGCAGAAGAGGAGAGUGGAAUUCCAUGUGUAGCGGUGAAAUGCGUAGCUAUAUGGCGCAACACCAGUGGCGAAGGCGGCUCUCUGGUCUGUAACUGACGCUGAGGCUCGAAAGCGUGGGGAGCAAACAGG